rnacentral:rRNA from 1 species
CUCCUACGGGAGGCAGCAGUGGGGAAUUUUGGACAAUGGGGGCAACCCUGAUCCAGCAACGCCGCGUGAAGGAUGAAGGUCUUCGGAUUGUAAACUUCUUUUGUAGAGGAAGAAACGGUUCAUGAAAAAUGAGUCGCGACGGUACUCUGCGAAUAAGCCACGGCUAACUUCGUGCCAGCAGCCGCGGUAAUACGAAGGUGGCAAGCGUUACUCGGAAUUACUAGGCGUAAAGCGCAGGUAGGUGGUUGGAUAAGUCCGUGAUGAAAGCUCCUGGCCUAACUGGGAGAGGUUUAUGGAUACUGUCCGACUCGAGUGUGGGAGAGGUGACUGGAAUUCCUGGUGUAGCGGUGAAAUGCGUAGAUAUCAGGAGGAACACCAACGGCGAAAGCAGGUCACUGGCCCAAUACUGACACUGAGCUGCGAAAGCUAGGGGAGCAAACAGGAUUAGGUACCCUGGUAGUCCUAGCCGUAAACGAUGUAGACCAGAUGUGGGGGGUAUCGACCCCCUCCGCGUCGACGCUAACGCAUUAA